ACUCCUACGGGAGGCAGCAGUGGGGAAUAUUGCACAAUGGGGGAAACCCUGAUGCAGCCAUGCCGCGUGUGUGAAGAAGGCCUCGGUUGUAAAGCACUUUCAGUAGGGAGGAAGGUAGUGUAGUUAACACCUGCAUUAUUUGUACGUUACCUACAGAAGAAGCACCGGCUAACUCCGUGCCAGCAGCCGCGGUAAUACGGAGGGUGCGAGCGUUAAUCGGAAUUACUGGGCGUAAAGCGCAUGCAGGCGGCCUGUUAAGUCAGAUGUGAAAGCCCGGGGCUUAACCUCGGAAUUGCAUUUGAAACUGGCAGGCUAGAGUCUUGUAGAGGGGUUAGAAUUUCAGGUGUAGCGGUGAAAUGCGUAGAGAUCUGAAGGAAUACCAGUGGCGAA
rnacentral:rRNA from 1 species